rnacentral:rRNA from 1 species
CAGCAGUGGGGAAUAUUGCACAAUGGGGGAAACCCUGAUGCAGCCAUGCCGCGUGUGUGAAGAAGGCCUUCGGGUUGUAAAGCACUUUCAGUAGGGAGGAAGGUAGUGUAGUUAACACCUGCAUUAUUUGACGUUACCUACAGAAGAAGCACCGGCUAACUCCGUGCCAGCAGCCGCGGUAAUACGGAGGGUGCGAGCGUUAAUCGGAAUUACUGGGCGUAAAGCGCAUGCAGGCGGCCUGUUAAGUCAGAUGUGAAAGCCCGGGGCUUAACCUCGGAAUUGCAUUUGAAACUGGCAGGCUAGAGUCUUGUAGAGGGGGUAGAAUUUCAGGUGUAGCGGUGAAAUGCGUAGAGAUCUGAAGGAAUACCAGUGGCGAAGGCGGCCCCCUGGACAAAGACUGACGCUCAGAUGCGAAAGCGUGGGGAGCAAACAGGAUUAGAUACCCUGGUAG